ACGGGAGGCAGCAGUGGGGAAUAUUGCGCAAUGGGCGAAAGCCUGACGCAGCGACGCCGCGUGAGGGAUGAAGGCCUUCGGGUUGUAAACCUCUUUCAGCAGGGACGAAGCGAAAGUGACUGUACCUGCAGAAGAAGCACCGGCUAACUACGUGCCAGCAGCCGCGGUAAUACGUAGGGUGCAAGCGUUGUCCGGAAUUAUUGGGCGUAAAGAGCUCGUAGGCGGUCUGUUACGUCGGAUGUGAAAUCCCGAGGCUUAACCUCGGGCCUGCAUUCGAUACGGGCAGACUCGAGUGUGGUAGGGGAGACUGGAACUCCUGGUGUAGCGGUGAAAUGCGCAGAUAUCAGGAAGAACACCGGUGGCGAAGGCGGGUCUCUGGGCCACUACUGACGCUGAGGAGCGAAAGCGUGGGGAGCGAACAGGAUUAGAUACCCUGGUA
rnacentral:rRNA from 1 species